rnacentral:lncRNA from 1 species
UUUCUCCAACAGGAUAAAAUAUAAUAAAUCUAAAUUGCUCAUUUUGGAAAUUAAAACAAAGAAAAGGUUGUUGCCGGCAUUGAAAAUCGAAAUUUGUUUUCAAUCUUUCCGGUCACAGUUGUAGCUAAAUGAAAGGGAGCGAUUUUAUUUCAGAUAUUAUUCUUGGAGCAAUUGUUUUUGUCAUAAGUUAAACUUACAACAAUUUAGUUUUAAACACCGAAAAUUUUUAUUUUAAUUCACAUUCACAUUCGCUGAGUAUUAGUUUUAUUAAUACUUUUUGCCUUACAGCUAAUUUCCUAAUGCAUGUAGGGUGAAACUUUGGUUGGCUUCCUUAAUUAAUGUUUACUCAAGCUCUGUUAUUAAGAUUGACAUCUUUAUAUAUAGGUAUGUAAACCUGUAUACAUGCUAUUUAAUUGAAUUGGACGUUAUCAAAAUAUAAUUAUACAAAAUAUACAAACAAAGCAAGCAGGCAAACCAAAGUGGUGAUCUACAUACAUUAGAAAAUUAGCUGUAAGCUUCAGUGAGAUUAGACAAUAUGUUUAUCAUUUCUCUUUAAGACAAUUUGAAAUGAAACAAAUGACAAACAAAAAUGACCCUUCGUUAUCAUUUUAUUUUUACUAUAAGAUUUUGUCAAAUAAGCAGUAUAAAUAAAUUUUAACUUCAUUGCAAGAUCGGACAUUAUUUUACGAGAAUCAUCCAGACAUCAGUUACAUGCACAUGUUGCCAGUAUGUCAAAACUUUUAGGAAUAUUUGAUUAUGGGCCUAACCUUGUGAAUACUCAUUUUUUUUAUUUUUGAAAAAUUGACACUAAAAUUAGAAGGAUCAUUGCAUAAGGAACAUGUUUACUAAGUUUUAAGUUGAUAGGACUUCAACUUCGCCAAAAACUACCUUGACCAAAAACUGUAACCAAAAACUUUAACCUGAAGUGGGACAGACGGACGGACGAACGAACGGACGCACAGACCAGAAAACAUAAUGCCCAUAAAUCGGAAAAAAAAAACCUUUCACCUUACCUGUACACAAUCGGCGCAAACGAAAGACAAAAUCUACGCAAGUGAAGAAGAAAAAAAAAUGAAAUGCAGAUCGACGCAAAUAUAAGACAAAAUCUACGCAUGUGAAAGAAUGAAAAAAAGGAAAUGCAGAACGGCGCAAAUGCAAAAAGUUGAGAUCAAAAUUUAUAUUUUAUUAUUUAUUAGAACGAAGGUUAAAUAUAGUGUAGUAUCUUAUGUGUCCAUUUGUGUUAAAUCUCCACAGGAUAUUAAAGUAGCGCGACGC